UGGGUGUGAAUAGUGUACCUUCA
rnacentral:siRNA from 1 species